rnacentral:rRNA from 1 species
GAUCGGGGUGCGGGUCUUUGGGCCACCUCCCAUCCGUGUCUAUUGUACCCUGUUGCUUCGGCGGGCCCGCCGCUUGUCGGCCGCCGGGGGGGCGCCUCUGCCCCCCGGGCCCGUGCCCGCCGGAGACCCCAACACGAACACUGUCUGAAAGCGUGCAGUCUGAGUUGAUUGAAUGCAAUCAGUUAAAACUUUCAACAAUGGAUCUCUUGGUUCCGGCAUCGAUGAAGAACGCAGCGAAAUGCGAUAACUAAUGUGAAUUGCAGAAUUCAGUGAAUCAUCGAGUCUUUGAACGCACAUUGCGCCCCCUGGUAUUCCGGGGGGCAUGCCUGUCCGAGCGUCAUUGCUGCCCUCAAGCCCGGCUUGUGUGUUGGGUCGCCGUCCCCCUCUCCGGGGGGACGGGCCCGAAAGGCAGCGGCGGCACCGCGUCCGAUCCUCGAGCGUAUGGGGCUUUGUCACAUGCUCUGUAGGAUUGGCCGGCGCCUGCCGACGUUUUCCAACCAUUCUUUCCAGGUUGACCUCGGAUCAGGUAGGGAUACCCGCUGAACUUAAGCAUAUCA